rnacentral:rRNA from 1 species
CCUACGGGAGGCAGCAGUGAGGAAUAUUGGUCAAUGGGCGCGAGCCUGAACCAGCCAAGUCGCGUGAAGGAUGACUGCCCUACGGGUUGUAAACUUCUUUUAUAAAGGAAUAAAGUCAGGCACGUGUGCCUCUUUGAAUGUACUUUAUGAAUAAGGAUCGGCUAACUCCGUGCCAGCAGCCGCGGUAAUACGGAGGAUACGAGCGUUAUCCGGAUUUAUUGGGUUUAAAGGGAGCGUAGAUGGGUUGUUAAGUCAGGUGUGAAAGUUCGCGGCUCAACCGUAAAAUUGCAAUUGAUACUGGCAGUCUUGAGUGCAGUUGAGGUAGGCGGAAUGCGUGGUGUAGCGGUGAAAUGCUUAGAUAUCACGAAGAACUCCGAUGGCGAAGGCAGCUAACUAAACUGCCACUGACGUUGAGGCGCGAAAGUGUGGGUAGCAAACAGGAUUAGAUACCCGGGUAGUC